rnacentral:rRNA from 1 species
CCAAUAGCGUAUAUUAAAGUUGCUGCAGUUAAAAAGCUCGUAGUUGAAUUUCGGGAUCAAUAUGUUGGUCGUGCCUCGGUACGUACUAGCUUAUUGGUUUCUUCCUUCUGACGAACCAUAAUGUCAUUUAUUUGGUGUUAUGGGGAAUCAGGACUGUUACUUUGAAAAAAUUAGAGUGUUUAAAGCAGGCUCACGCUUGA